CCGAACUGCACCCCUGCUUCAUUUCCUGAUCUGGGUAUGUUUCCUUCCCUUCAGAAAAUGGAAGUGCUGAGAUGUUAAGGUCCAACUCCAUGCUCGCCUCCUUUGGCCUCAUCCAGCUCGUCUUCAUCUUCUUCCUGUUUAGUGGCAGGGGAUCAUUGAGCUGGAGGUCAAUGCUGCUGCGUUGGCUCACUGGAUUACAACAUAUCAAUUGUUGCUUCCUCUUCAUCGUGGAAAUCACAUCUGAUUCCGCACUCAAGAUUGACCGAGGCGGGCCGAGAGAAAGCUCUGUGUGCUCCAUAGCUGCUUGUUUGAACCAGGGGAGAAAAUAAAUAAAAAGUGGAAAGGAAAAAAACAACACACCACCACCUCCAUGAAACAUAUAUUGGGCAAGGCAUAAUGAAUUAAUGUGGUGGGUUGAGACUUCUACACAUCCAUCAGUGCCAGCAACCCCAAUUAAUAAAUGGAGCUGUGCCUCAUUCUUUGGUCAUGAAGGAUCAAAGGCAUUCAAUGUUUCAUGUCAUAACUCCUCUCCUUGUGAGUUUAAUGUUCCAACAGCCCAUUUGUAUUUGUGAGGUCGCCUUUAAUCUCCAGAGGCCACCUCGGACUUCUUAUAUCAACAUAGCAUUAGGACAUUAAUGAGGGGGUCGUCUUGUCAUUAACAGAUAUCAAUUACUCAUUUAGUGGCAAUAAAGUGACGGAGCUGAUUCCAUAUUUGCUGCACUGUUCCAUCAUAAUGACAAUUGAAUGUUAUCGGUAUUAUCUAUGUUUAUUUUGAGCCAAUUUUGAUAUUACAUGUUGUUUAUCCGAUUGUUUCAAUUUCAUUUCUAGACUGUUUGCAAUCAUGUUAAAGUGCGCUAAGUAUUAUUUAGGUCUCUUUUGAUUCAAUUUUUGAUAUAAAUUAGCUUAUGAAGUUGUUUGGUGAAAUAACCUGAUGACCAAGGGAUGAUAUUUUGGUUAAGAGAACUUGCUCCUUGUCAUCUUAGGCAGACCCUAUCGACAAACCAAAUUGACCCAAUAUUUACAUACUAGAAAGUUUUUACUCUUCAUAAAGGAACCUAUAGUCUAUAGAAAAUCAAAGCCUAUUCAAUGUGGUAUCUUGACCCACCAUAAGUAGCAUUUGAUGAUUUUGGGA